AAUCUCUAUCGUUUGCACCCUAAUCUAUUUGAUCCCGAUCUAAAUCAAAUCUUAAGGGUGUUUAAGGCUAACAGACGCUAACGUGGCAACAGUCAACCAGGAUUAUGACUAAUGAGGCUAUCGUUGACGGAAUACUUAUGUUUCAGUGGUUGUGGGGAAUGAUUCGAGAGAGUGGGGAACGAACCUAGGGUUCGCCCGCGGCGGAGGAAGGAGUGGUUGACGACGGCAGUGGCUGUCAGAACCCAAUGGCGUGCGAACCUGCAAAGAUGUGCCACUGCAGUCCUCCGAGAAAGGCGUCAAGAUGAUCUCCUCGAGCCCUCACAACCGUGGUAGGAGGUACUAUGCAUGCGUGGAUGCUAUGCAUGGUGGUUGUGGAUUUGUUGAGUGGCAUGAUGAUGCUUUGCCGCAAUACUACAGUCAAUUGAUUGGGAAUUUGUGUGAUGAAGUGUGCAAGCUUAAAGGCUCUCAAAUUGUUAAGUUAUUGCUUGGUUAAUGUGUAAUGGAUCAGCUAAGUAAUGUUAUCUACGAAAUGAUUUUUUCUUAACCCAGUGCUUGCUAUCAGAUAUGCUCACAGAUUUGUUUA